GACGAACGCUGGCGGCGUGCUUAACACAUGCAAGUCGAACGGAAAGGCCCUGCUUUUGUGGGGUGCUCGAGUGGCGAACGGGUGAGUAACACGUGAGUAACCUGCCCUUGACUUUGGGAUAACUUCAGGAAACUGGGGCUAAUACCGGAUAGGAGCUCCUGCUGCAUGGUGGGGGUUGGAAAGUUUCGGCGGUUGGGGAUGGACUCGCGGCUUAUCAGCUUGUUGGUGGGGUAGUGGCUUACCAAGGCUUUGCCGGGUAGCCGGCCUGAGAGGGUGACCGGCCACAUUGGGACUGAGAGACGGCCCAGACUCCUACGGGAGGCAGCAGUGGGGAAUAUUGCACAAUGGGCGGAAGCCUGAUGCAGCAACGCCGCGUGCGGGAUGACGGCCUUCGGGUUGUAAACCGCUUUCGCCUGUGACGAAGCGUGAGUGACGGUAAUGGGUAAAGAAGCACCGGCUAACUACGUG
rnacentral:rRNA from 1 species